GAAAAGCUUUCGUUAAUUUAGUCGCUGUAACAGGAACCAAACCUUGCAUAACCACCUGUGACGAUGAGAACGAUGAUGCUGUUGAUGCUCUUGAUGCUGGCUUUGGUCACUCUGUCUGGUACCUCGACGCUGCCAUGCUAUACCAGAGGAUCAAAGUGCUGGAUUUUUGGAUUUGGAGCAUUAUUUUCCCAUAGUUGCUGUCCAGGUCUGACGUGUCUACCUAGCCAUUCUAGUCCCAGGGUCUACAGAUGCAUGUCAUUUGAUGCCUUGUUCUGACAUCUGUAGCGGUCGACGGUUUAUGCGAGUAUAAAUUACAGAUGUUUUACUGCUUGGACUUGACAUCUCCACCUGCCGAACCUCUAAGCAAGUGUCAGUGUAAACAACGAAAUGGAGAAUACUUCACAUCACUUUAACUUGUUUGGAGAAAGGAGCAAAAGAUUGCUUUUCGGUACGAAAUAUCGGUUUCCGCCAUCUUGAAAUUUGGAUCUCGGGAUACGAUUUUUCCUACACUACUUUAAGUAAUAAUAAACCAAUUCAAACUCA